rnacentral:rRNA from 1 species
CCUACGGGCGGCAGCAGUGGGGAAUAUUGCACAAUGGGGGAAACCCUGAUGCAGCGACGCCGCGUGAGUGAAGAAGUAUUUCGGUACGUAAAGCUCUAUCAGCAGGGAAGAAAAGGACGGUACCUGACUAAGAAGCCCCGGCUAACUACGUGCCAGCAGCCGCGGUAAUACGUAGGGGGCAAGCGUUAUCCGGAUUUACUGGGGGUAAAGGGAGCGUAGACGGCAGCGCAAGUCUGGAGUGAAAUCCCAUGGCUUAACCAUGGAACUGCUUUGGAAACUGUGCAGCUAGAGUGCAGGAGAGGUAAGCGGACUUCCUCGUGUAGCGGUGACAUGCGUCGAUCUUAGGAGGCACACCAGUGGCGAAGGCGGCUUACUGGACUGUAACUGCCGUUGAGGCUCGAACGCGUGGGGAGCAAACAGGAUUAGCUACCCUUGUAGUC